CUGGAGACCAUUAUUCUAAGUCAAGUGACACAGGAGUGUAAGAAGACUUUCACCAGGUGCUGGUGCCAUGUUCUUGGACUUCUCAGUCUCCCAAACCAUAAGCCAAGAGUGAAAUACAUCACCGCUUUCCCUGCUCCCGCCGCCAUUAAAAUUGUGUUUGGCAUCUGACCACCAAGAUACAGAUAUUUCCUAGACUGUUUUGCAGCUAGGUACUUAGAAGUUUUUCUAAGUUAUUUAAACUUCUCACCACACAAAAUCUGGAUUUGUAUCUGUCACGUAGUAAUUGCUUGAUAAAUCAUUUCUCUUUCCUCUGGAGAAAAAUAUCUGCUUUCUUUAAAAUAAAUGUUCCAUCCAUGCAGCUAAGCAGCUAAGGACACGAACAGCCACUGAUACAGGCCAACUCAUCAGUAGAUUAUUGAGGAAUCAUUCUCUUCAGUCAGAUCACGAUUUGAGUUUGAACUAACCAGAGAGUAGCAGAAGGAACGUUUUCUCAUUUCCAUGUCCAGAAAGAUAUAUUCCUGCUACCCUCCUGAAGUCAGAGGAUGAAAUCAUAGUCAAUACAUCUUUGCAGAUAAACUAUUAGAUUUCAUACUAGGACCUUUCAUUGGCUGAACAAAGACAAAGACAGAAAUCAAGGAAGGUCAAAGAAGCAGUCAGUUUUCUGGCACCCAAAGUUGUUGGAGAAGGGUACAGAGUCGGUAAAUAAGUCAUAUGACAGACAGGCAGUAUUUUCUUAUUUUAAUAACAAGUUUAAAAAUCCCACUUCUUGUACUUACCUUCUGUCUGACGUCAUCAGUAUUUUAAAAUGCCAACUGGGAUCAAGUUCAACACUGCAUUACUGAAGAAUCCAGAUUAUCUACAUUUCAAGUGCCAAAUGAAAGAAAGAACCCAGAAAAUAAAACAAUAUGAUGAUAACAGUAAAAUUUUUUAAAAUGAAA
rnacentral:lncRNA from 1 species